CACUCCCUACGGGACGCAGCAGUAGGGAAUUUUCGUCAAUGGGCGCAAGCCUGAACGAGCAAUGCCGCGUGAACGAGGAAGGUUCUCGGAUCGUAAAGUUCUGUUGAAGGGGAAAAAGAGCGGAGAGAGGAAAUGGUCUCCGAUUGAUAUUACCCUUCGAGGAAGUCACGGCUAACUACGUGCCAGCAGCCGCGGUAAUACGUAGGUGGCGAGCGUUAUCCGGAAUGAUUGGGCGUAAAGGGUGCGUAGGCGGCCUGCUAAGUCUGGAGUGAAAGUGACCG
rnacentral:rRNA from 1 species